rnacentral:misc_RNA from 1 species
UCCCAAGCCUUCUGGCGAUCUAGACAAGACAAGUCCACCGUGGGCUUUGAAAAACGCUUUCCUUGAUAAAAUUUAAGCGUUUUAUAAGAGGAUGCCGGGGAAGGUUUUCCGGUUUAUCCCGGAGGGCUUGUAGCUCAGUUGGUUAGAGCGCGCGCUUGAUAAGCGUGAGGUCGGAGGUUCAAGUCCUCCCAGGCCCACCAGUUUAUCCAUUACUUUCAUAAGUGCUUUUAAAAAAUAAGUACUUCUAAAAAGAUUGCUUCUAAAAAGCUUAUCAAAAUUGGCAGGCUUAUUGCUUUUGUGUGAGUAAUCCAAAGUUAAAGCAAAUUAAUGGCAAAAAAACAGUUCAAAUGCUAAAUACUAAGGAGUCAAAAUUCCUUGCAAAGUGAUUUUUACAGCGUCCAUUUGGUUGAUAUAAAUUCCAAAUGCUCAUAGACGUCAAUGCCUAUAUGAAACUAUCGGUUCAAUCAUAUCGCUUUGAGUUAUAUAGAUUUUGUAAUCCCUCUUUUGAUCGUUUUAAACGCUUUAUCCUGAUUUAGGGGCCGUAGCUCAGCUGGGAGAGCACCUGCUUUGCAAGCAGG